rnacentral:rRNA from 1 species
UACGUAGGUGGCAAGCGUUGUCCGGAUUUAUUGGGUUUAAAGGGUGCGUAGGUGGUCUAUUAAGUCAGUGCUGAAAUAUCCCGGCUUAACCGGGAGGGUGGCAUUGAUACUGAUGGACUUGAGUAGAGUUGAGGUAGGCGGAAUUGACGGUGUAGCGGUGAAAUGCUUAGAUAUCGUCAAGAACACCGAUAGCGAAGGCAGCUUACUAAGCUCUUACUGACACUGAUGCACGAAAGUGUGGGGAUCAAACAGG